UUCACUCUCCGUAGGGGAGGAGAUGGGGCAUCUCAAUGGGAAAUAUGGGUGAAAAGACUGCGUGCAGCCCGACACAGAGAUGCUGAAUGGAUGGGGCCAGUGCAACGUCACGCGGAGCCGCAGCCAUGAAGCGGAGGACCAGAGCGCGAGACAAUAUUCGGGAGCGCACGCAGCUCGCACGGGUACAGUGAUCAUUGCAAUCCGUCCUAUAAAGAUCAUCGAUGCUCCUGGAUAAGAGACGUCCAGUAGAGGAAAAGAGAUUUUGCAUGCGGGGACACGUCACACAGGUCCCAGUUCAGCGCUGGUUGGGUUCUACAUAUGGAAGAAGAGGAUGGGUGGCCGGAGGGGUUGGCUGUUAUCUUUGGUUAUCUAGCUGUAUGAGUGUUAUUCAUUCUUCAUAAAGCUAGAUAACCGAAAGUAACAAGAAUCCCAUUACACACCUGAAAGGCAUCACCCCCACAAGCUGUACUCCCUCUCUCCUUUUCUUCCCAAGUCUCUCUCUGUCUCUCCCCUUCAAUCUCUGCAUCUUGCAAGAGCAAGCCACAAAAUGGCCUCCAUCAGUGCUGUCAGUGAAGCAGCAAUCCAACAAUCCUGCUCUCCAUGAUGCCAGGGAAAGGAAAUGAAGAAGGGCAGGUCGCUUCUGCGGCUGUCUUCCCACUCCGAGUCCUGCUGGCGUUGCUGUUCCCCUCCCCUUCGUCGCCCGCCUGCCCCCUUCCUCCCGUCACGAGAUGCGGUUCGCACAAAGCCACCAUCUUAGAGCAUGCGGGCAUUAAAUGGAAGUGAAAAAUAAGCAGGUUUUUAGAGAGGAGUUGAAGAUCACGAAAUCCAUCCAGCAAAUAGAGGAUGAUGGUUCACAUGCUGUACAGUAGCAGCGGCUGAUGGAGUCACACAUCUUUACUAUGCAUGUGCCCCAACAUCAGAUUCAAACAGCACUUUAUAACUUUAACUGCAGCAAUUUUGAAAACAGUUGUAGUGUGUAUUUUUGAAGGGGUCUUGUGUAUCUUCAAUUAAGUCAUUUGUCUCUUAGUUUUACUGCUAGAAACUUGUAAGUUAUUGUGCGGGUAUGGAUCAAUGUACUUAACAAAUUGUGCAUUUGUAUUUCAAUUCUAAAAGAGUUGAGGUUUUAUUCAAGUAGUUCUGCUGUGAAUUUAACAAAUGCUGUGUUUAAAACAUGCUUGGAAAGUCUAGGGCUUAAAUAUAUUAAUCUUUCAAUUGAAUUUAACCCAACACAAUACAAUCUAGUAUGUUUUAGAUUGCCGAGUACAAUCUUUAGCAUAGCGCACUUUACAAAUUCAAACAAUAUUUUUUUCAGAAUUUUUCUUUUAGUUGAAUAGUUCUCAACACUAAAGAUAAAGUAGCUGUUCUAGAAACUGUUAAUGUGUGUGUACAUCCCCUAACUGAUUACUAAUUGAUAUUUAACAUGAAUUGUUAGAAAUAAUGUGUGAGGCUCUGUAGAUUCUGCAUGUAUGAAUGGAAGACCCACGGCAGCAGUGAACGAUACUGCACUCUUGAUUGGACAGCUCAGUGUGUUGAUGGACGGAGAGCUGUUGUCUUUAAUUUUUAUGCAGUUGCGUUGGGUUUGCAAUCACCAGAAAGAGAAGGCAGAUCAGACUUAAACUGCUAUAUUUGAGACAUUCAUUCACAGCAUGCUAUAUCUGGUUUAAGGUGAUCAGAUAUUUAAAUCCCACUUAAAUUGUUUUUUUUUUUAGAUCGUAAAGUUAUUUUAAAGGCUAUUAAAUGCUCUGUCUCUCUGUAUUUUUGUUACAAUCAUUUAUAGUUCAAAUAUUGAUAUGCAAUUGUUUUAAGAUUUUAUUAUAAAUGUAAGAGUUGGUGCAAGUGUAUGGUGCAGUCUAUUUCGUAAACACUUUCCAUGAAAACAUUUUUUAAUUGUAGCAAAUCUACAAUUUUAAAUGUUUUAAAUGUGACACAUCAAAUGUGAAGACAAUGAACUGAUCAAACGGAGCUUUUUGCUAUGCAAUUUUAUCUAUUUUGUUUGUAAUUUUGUAUCAUGUUAUUAUGUCCAGUGGUGUGUAGUGCUGUAUUAACAAUAUUUAAAAUAUAUUCAUUUCAUUUGUAGUUCUUUUAUGUUUAUCUUUACUUUUCAGAUAAAUGUAAAUGUGCCUUUCUUUUUUGAGUGAUUUUCUGUAAUACCACAUGUGCCUUUGUAAUGAUGUCCUGUUAUGGAUAUUAAUAAAUGUUUACUUUGAA